rnacentral:misc_RNA from 1 species
GAACCAUAGGGUACCUCUGAGGAAGGAAGGCCUUCUCACUAGGGAUCCUCGGGUGGUUGAGAGGAAGAAAGUUGGUCUUAAGAAGGCCCGGAAAGCACCUCAAUUUUCAAAGCGUUAAGUUUGUUGUUGCAGAGGGUAGAUUUUGUUACUUCUGUAAGUUGGACACUCAUCUCAGUCUUCUCUUAGCUCCCUCCUUGCGGCAACUGAAGUUCACGUCAGAGCUGAACGAUAGGAAAAGUAAAGAAGGAAAAGCCUAUGUCCGGUUGAGAUUUUGAUUUACCUGUUAAUGUAUCGUGUAUUUGUAGCUUGCUAUGUGAACCUGACAUUUGGUUACCCUGCUCGAUCUUAAUGUGG